rnacentral:rRNA from 1 species
GGGAGGGGCCAAAGCAUGCCUACCCUUGUUCUAUAUCUACCUUUUGYUAUUCCCUCGGCAGGGAGACCUGCCGUUGGGCCCUUAACCAAACCUUUAUUAUAAGCAUCAAAAUUUCUGAACAAAACGAAAAAUUACAACUUUCAACAAUGGAUCUCUUGGUUCUGGCAUCGAUGAAGAACGCAGCGAAAUGCGAUAAGUAGUGUGAAUUGCAGACUUUAGUGAAUCAUCGAAUCUUUGAACGCACAUUGCGCCCCUUGGUAUUCCAUUGGGCAUGCCUGUUCGAGCGUCAUUUACACCCUCAAGCUCUGCUUGGUGUUGGGCGUCUGUCCCUGCUUUCAGUGAGGACUCGCCCUAAAGAUAUUGGCAGCGGCUUUGCCAGCUUCUUGCGCAGCACUUUGCGCUCGAAAUGGRGAGGCUCUGGUAGGGACGCAUCCAUUAAGAACUCCACCAGUUUGACCUCGAAUCAGGUAGGGAUACCCGCUGAACUUAAGCAUAUCAAUAAGCGGAGGA